rnacentral:lncRNA from 1 species
GUUUAUGUAUAGAACCUGCUAAUGUCUUUUUCAUGAUUCUUAUUUACUGCUCGAUCUUGAGAAAAUUAACUGAGAAACCAAUGUUCGCUGUUACUUCUUACUCUAGUUUCAACUUCCGGUUACAUGUUGAUACACAAAAUACAAAUAUUGGAAGGGGUGACCCACAAUUACAAAACCAGAAAAGAAGAUAUGCAGAGCUAUAUUUGAGAAACCAGUGAUAUAUUAAAUGAUAACAAGCAUGCAGUAUUGUCCAUUACCUUUACAAUUAACAGUCCAACUCUGUUUCCCUCCUCUGAAGAAGUGAUUUUUUAGGAGUCCUGUAACCUGGAAGAUGAAAAUCAAAAUAUAUCGGACUUUCUAAAAGCAGUUGUGGUUCUAGCUAGUACUACUAGUAGAAUCUCUUGCAGACAUACGGUUGCAGAGGAGAGACAUCAACUACCUUGGCCUAUUCAAAACCAAUGUCUGUAUAGAGCCAUUUUCUUCUACCAGUACCCAGCAAAUGAGGAAGGAGACCAUUCUCGUUAUUUUCUGGUGAUUAGAGUCG